GACGAACGCUGGCGGCGUGCUUAACACAUGCAAGUCGAACGAAGAGCGAUGGAAGCUUGCUUCUAUCAAUCUUAGUGGCGAACGGGUGAGUAACGCGUAAUCAACCUGCCCUUCAGAGGGGGACAACAGUUGGAAACGACUGCUAAUGCCGCAUACGAUCUGACCUCGGCAUCGAGGAUAGAUGAAAGGUGGCCUCUAUUUAUAAGCUAUCACUGAAGGAGGGGAUUGCGUCUGAUUAGCUAGUUGGAGGGGUAACGGCCCACCAAGGCGAUGAUCAGUAGCCGGUCUGAGAGGAUGAACGGCCACAUUGGGACUGAGACACGGCCCAGACGCCUACGGGAGGCAGCAGUGGGGAAUCUUCCGCAAUGGACGAAAGUCUGACGGAGCAACGCCGCGUGAGUGAUGACGGCCUUCGGGUUGUAAAGCUCGGUUAAUCGGGACGAAAGGCCUUCUUGCGAAUAGUUAGAAGGAUUGACGGUACCGGAAUAGAAAGCCACGGCUAACUACGUG
rnacentral:rRNA from 1 species